UCAGCCGGGCUCUGUGGGCCUCAGGGCUGGGAGCCCACCCGUCCACCUGGGUGGUUUGGGGCAGGGCUGGCACCGGCCUGACCAACACUCUCCCCAUCACAGUCACCGGACUUUGCUGAGGAGUUGAGGUCCCUGGAACCAUCUCCCAGCCCUGGCCCGCAGGAGGAGGAUGGAGAAGUGGCUCUGGUGCUUCUGGGCAGGCCCUCACCCGGCGCUGUGGGCCCUGAAGAUGUGGCACUGUGCAGCAGCCGCCGCCCCGUAAGGCCUGGGCGCCGUGGCCUGGGCCCUGUGCCCUCCUAGAGGAGCAGGCACCUCCCCCAGACUUGGGGUGGGGGCCCUGCCAGCUCCAGCACCACCCUUGCCCCAAGUCUUUUAACCUGGGUGUUAGCAUUUUAAAGAGACCCCACAGGAGUUCUGGCCUGUGACUAACUAACUGCCCCACCCCAGCCGAGACCUCGGCGAGACUGUAACUAGUGAUGUUUGUACAACCAAAGACUCUAUUUUGUGGUUUAAGGAGAAUAAAGUUGACUACAUUUUA
rnacentral:lncRNA from 1 species